UUGAGUGGCGAACGGGUGAGUAACACGUGGGCAACCUGCCCAAAAGAAGGGGGAUAACACUUGGAAACAGGUGCUAAUACCGCAUAACCAUAGUUACCGCAUGGUAACUAUGUAAAAGGUGGCUAUACUACCGCUUUUGGAUGGGCCCGCGGCGCAUUAGCUAGUUGGUAGGGUAAAGGCUUACCAAGGCAAUGAUGCGUAGCCGAAUUGAGAGGUUGAUCGGCCACAUUGGGACUGAGACACGACCCAAACUCCUACGGGAGGCAGCAG
rnacentral:rRNA from 1 species